CACUCAGAGUGUGGCAGUGCCUUCCAGACACUCCUGUUCCAAAAGCACCAGCUGUUAUUGCCUCACAAAGAGUUAUUUUAGCACAGCACCUUCCUCAUCCACAGUUCACUGACUGCCAUCCAUCUCUCAGAGGCCACUAAUCAGAUAACCAUGAACAUCCCAUCUUCCAAUCAUUAAGUGCCCCAGAACUGUGGUUUUGUAUUUUGAGCUUGAGUACAUAACAGGUUGUAUAGAGCUUUUUCAGCUGGAGGUGAAAGAUGCAAUAGAAGAGACAAUAAAUUCAUACUCCAGCUACAGAGACUUUAAGAAGUGAGAACAUUUGGUAUCACGCUGUGUGAGCAGCAUAUUGGCAGAAUAAAGAUUUCCAAUCAAAACUGAAGACCCAAACAUACAGAAGCGUAGCUGAAAUCCUCAACUCCCGUGCUAGACCUGAGACCCAGGUUGAUGAUGACCCUCUGACAGUGCAAGUACCUCAUCUCAAACACAGCUCUGCAUUAAAUCCUCCGAACAACACAUUGCAGUGGCUCAAAAUGUCCCUUGGCACACACGUAUGCAUCACACCCUGGGCCAGCCUGCAAAGGCCAAAAUUCCCCUCUAGCUGUAGAGAAAGAGUAGAGAGACAUUAACUACAAACAAUUGUAUUUUGCUUAUUAAGUCAGGUGCCCUCCUGUUUUUGAUACCUUUAAGAUCUCCACUCCUGCUGCACAGUUUAAAUUAUACAGGUCAGUGACUUCCUGAUGGAUAUAGCACAGCUCUAACAAUAGUCUUUGUUUCCUGUCCUAAGACAAAGUGAACAUCAUUCUGGGCUAUUAAGUUUCCUAUAAAGCACAGCUG
rnacentral:lncRNA from 1 species